rnacentral:rRNA from 1 species
AUAAAGUUGUCUCCUUAUAUGGGGAGCGGCGGACGGCUGAGUAACGCGUAGGAACGUACCCCAAAGUGAGGGAUAACUGCUCGAAAGAGUAGCUAAUACCGCAUGUGGUCUUCGGAUUAAAGCUUCGGCGCUUUGGGAGCGGCCUGCGUAAGAUUAGCUUGUUGGUGAGGUAAUAGCUCACCAAGGCGACGAUCUUUAGCUGGUCUGAGAGGAUGAUCAGCCAGACUGGAACUGAGAACGGUCCAGACUCC